rnacentral:siRNA from 1 species
UUGGGAAUUUGUUGCUUUAUACAA